CGAGUGGCGGACGGGUGAGUAAUGUCUGGGAAACUGCCUGAUGGAGGGGGAUAACUACUGGAAACGGUAGCUAAUACCGCAUAACGUCGCAAGACCAAAGAGGGGGACCCUCGGGCCUCUUGCCAUCGGAUGUGCCCAGAUGGGAUUAGCUUGUUGGUGGGGUAACGGCUCACCAGGCGACGAUCCCUAGCUGGUCUGAGAGGAUGACCAGCCACACUGGAACUGAGACACGGUCCAGACUCCUACGGGAGGCAGCAUG
rnacentral:rRNA from 1 species